rnacentral:tRNA from 1 species
UUACAAGGAUGGGAAUCGAACCCACAGUGUUCCGCUUACCGGGCAGAUGCCAUGUCCACUAGGCUACCCUGGA